UACGUAGGGGGCAAGCGUUGUCCGGAAUCAUUGGGCGUAAAGAGCCGUGUAGGCGGCUCGAUAAGUCCGCUGUGAAAGUCCAGGGCUCAACCCUGGAAGGCCGGUGGAAACUGUCGGGCCUAGAGUCCGGAAGAGGCGAGUGGAAUUCCCGGUGUAGCGGUGAAAUGCGCAGAUAGUCGGGAGGAACACCAAUGGCGAAGGCAGCUCGCUGGG
rnacentral:rRNA from 1 species